rnacentral:rRNA from 1 species
CCUACGGGUGGCAGCAGUGAGGAAUAUUGGUCAAUGGUCGGGAGACUGAACCAGCCAAGCCGCGUGAGGGAUGAAGGUACAGAGUAUCGUAAACCUCUUUUGUCAGGGCACCAAGGCGGUGACGUGUCCCCGGAUGCGUGUACCUGCAGAAAAAGCAUCGGCUAACUCCGUGCCAGCAGCCGCGGUAAUACGGAGGAUGCGAGCGUUAUCCGGAUUUAUUGGGUUUAAAGGGUGCGCAGUCGGCCUGUUAAGUCAGCGGUCAAAGCCCGGGGCUCAACCCCGGCGCGCCGUUGAAACGGGCAGUCGCGAGUUGGAGAGAAGUAUGCGGAAUGCGCGGGGUAGCGGUGAAAUGCAUAGAGAUCGCGCAGAACUCCGAUUGCGAAGGCAGCAUGCCGGCUCCACACUGACGCUGAGGCACGAAAGCGUGGGUAUCGAACAGGAUGAGAUACCCGGGUAGUC